GUACAACUCAUCGGGAGAGAGUAGAGCGGCGGACGGGUGAGUAACGCGUAGGAAUCUACCCGGUAGUGGGGGACAACUUGGGGAAACUCAAGCUAAUACCGCAUACGCCCUAUGGGGGAAAGUGGGGGACCCUCGGGCCUCACGCUAUCGGAUGAGCCUGCGUAAGAUUAGCUAGUUGGUGAGGUAAAGGCUCACCAAGGCGACGAUCUUUAGCUGGUCUGAGAGGAUGAUCAGCCACACUGGGACUGAGACACGGCCCAGACUCCUACGGGAGGCAGCAGUGGGGAAUAUUGCGCAAUGGAGGCAACUCUGACGCUGCCAUGCCGCGUGUGUGAAGAAGGCCCUCGGGUUGUAAAGCACUUUCAAUUGGGAGAAAAAGCUUGUCGUUAAUAGCGGCAAGCCUUGAUGUUACCUUUAGAAGAAGCACCGGCUAACUCCGUGCCAGCAGCCGCGGUAAUACGGAGGGUGCGAGCGUUAAUCGGAAUUACUGGGCGUAAAGCGCGCGUAGGCGGUUGCUUAAGUCAGCUGUGAAAGCCCCGGGCUUAACCUGGGAACUGCAGUUGAUACUGGGCAACUAGAGUACGAGAGAGGGAGGUAGAAUUCCACGUGUAGCGGUGAAAUGCGUAGAUAUGUGGAGGAAUACCGGUGGC
rnacentral:rRNA from 1 species